GAUUCAGUCUAUUCAAAUUAAUGUAUAAAUCUUUACAUCUCGAUUCAAAUUCCACUAAGUAUCACAUAGUACAACUUAACAUGUAUUACACAUCGUAAACUACUAUUAUGUACAUCUCCUAGAACCUAAACAUGGUUCAAGGGCAUAUAUUUAAAUAAAUAAAUAAAUCUCCUUCUAUGCUAUUGAACUUUAUCUAUCAAAUAGCAUGUAAUCUUUAUCGUGAGUCCUUAACCU
rnacentral:lncRNA from 1 species